rfam:Oryza barthii chromosome 6, whole genome shotgun sequence.
GAUAUCAACUGAAAAGGUCAUCAACAACAAAGUUGAAUAACUCAUCAAGAUCUAAAACUUUUAUUUUGGUCAUUUCUUCAUACGACAAAGUGAUAGUAACAUUGUUCACAAAAUUGACAUAUCUCUUAUCUGGUUUUUUAUAAACUAUAACACAUAUAUGUAAAAUUUGUGAAUAAUAUUACUAACAUUUCGUCAGAUGAAGAAAUAACAAAAAUAAAAGUUUUAGAUCUUGAUGAGUUAUUCAACUUUGUUGUUGAUGACUUUUCCAUUUGAAAUC